GACAGAGGAUGCAAGCGUUAUCCGGAAUGAUUGGCGUAAAGGCGUCUGUAGGUGGCUUUUAAGUCCGCCGUCAAAUCCCAGGGCUCAACCUGGACAGGCGGUGGAAACUACCAAGCUGGAGUACGGUAGGGCAGAGGGAAUUUCCGGUGGAGCGGUGAAAUGCGUAGAGAUCAGAAAGAACACCAACGGCGAAAGCACUCUGCUGGGCCGACACUGACACUGAGAGACGAAAGCUAGGGGAGCGAAUGGG
rnacentral:rRNA from 1 species